rnacentral:ncRNA from 1 species
AUAUCGAAUCUUGAUGGGGAAUAAUGUGCAAAUCAUUAGCUGUUCCUGCAACGGUAAAAGACCGAGUGCCAUCCGAUACAGACCGUUGUCGAAUGAAGGCCAGGAAAAGUCUAGUUCUACAAUUUAAAA